CCAUCCUCCAAGGCUAAAUACUCCUGACUGACCGAUAGUGAACCAGUACCGUGAGGGAAAGGCGAAAAGAACCCCGGCGAGGGGAGUGAAAAAGAACCUGAAACCGUGUACGUACAAGCAGUGGGAGCACGCUUAGGCGUGUGACUGCGUACCUUUUGUAUAAUGGGUCAGCGACUUAUAUUCUGUAGCAAGGUUAACCGAAUAGGGGAGCCGAAGGGAAACCGAGUCUUAACUGGGCGUUAAGUUGCAGGGUAUAGACCCGAAACCCGGUGAUCUAGCCAUGGGCAGGUUGAAGGUUGGGUAACACUAACUGGAGGACCGAACCGACUAAUGUUGAAAAAUUAGCGGAUGACUUGUGGCUGGGGGUGAAAGGCCAAUCAAACCGGGAGAUAGCUGGUUCUCCCCGAAAGCUAUUUAGGUAGCGCCUCGUGAAUUCAUCUCCGGGGGUAGAGCACUGUUUCGGCAAGGGGGUCAUCCCGACUUACCAACCCGAUGCAAACUGCGAAUACCGGAGAAUGUUAUCACGGGAGACACACGGCGGGUGCUAACGUCCGUCGUGAAGAGGGAAACAACCCAGACCGCCAGCUAAGGUCCCAAAGUCAUGGUUAAGUGGGAAACGAUGUGGGAAGGCCCAGACAGCCAGGAUGUUGGCUUAGAAGCAGCCAUCAUUUAAAGAAAGCGUAAUAGCUCACUGGUCGAGUCGGCCUGCGCGGAAGAUGUAACGGGGCUAAACCAUGCACCGAAGCUGCGGCAGCGACGCUUAUGCGUUGUUGGGUAGGGGAGCGUUCUGUAAGCCUGUGAAGGUGUACUGUGAGGUAUGCUGGAGGUAUCAGAAGUGCGAAUGCUGACAUAAGUAACGAUAAAGCGGGUGAAAAGCCCGCUCGCCGGAAGACCAAGGGUUCCUGUCCAACGUUAAUCGGGGCAGGGUGAGUCGACCCCUAAGGCGAGGCCGAAAGGCGUAGUCGAUGGGAAACAGGUUAAUAUUCCUGUACUUGGUGUUACUGCGAAGGGGGGACGGAGAAGGCUAUGUUGGCCGGGCGACGGUUGUCCCGGUUUAAGCGUGUAGGCUGGUUUUCCAGGCAAAUCCGGAAAAUCAAGGCUGAGGCGUGAUGACGAGGCACUACGGUGCUGAAGCAACAAAUGCCCUGCUUCCAGGAAAAGCCUCUAAGCAUCAGGUAACAUCAAAUCGUACCCCAAACCGACACAGGUGGUCAGGUAGAGAAUACCAAGGCGCUUGAGAGAACUCGGGUGAAGGAACUAGGCAAAAUGGUGCCGUAACUUCGGGAGAAGGCACGCUGAUAUGUAGGUGAAGCGACUUGCUCGUGGAGCUGAAAUCAGUCGAAGAUACCAGCUGGCUGCAACUGUUUAUUAAAAACACAGCACUGUGCAAACACGAAAGUGGACGUAUACGGUGUGACGCCUGCCCGGUGCCGGAAGGUUAAUUGAUGGGGUCAGCGCAAGCGAAGCUCUUGAUCGAAGCCCCGGUAAACGGCGGCCGUAACUAUAACGGUCCUAAGGUAGCGAAAUUCCUUGUCGGGUAAGUUCCGACCUGCACGAAUGGCGUAAUGAUGGCCAGGCUGUCUCCACCCGAGACUCAGUGAAAUUGAACUCGCUGUGAAGAUGCAGUGUACCCGCGGCAAGACGGAAAGACCCCGUGAACCUUUACUAUAGCUUGACACUGAACAUUGAGCCUUGAUGUGUAG
rnacentral:rRNA from 1 species